GCCCCGGUAGCUCAGCUGGAUAGAGCAGCACCCUUCUAAGGUGAAGGUCAGAGGUUCGAAUCCUCUCCGGGGUACCA
rnacentral:tRNA from 2 species